GCAGCCAAUCAGAGAGCAGCGUGCGGAGGCUGGCCCCGGCGGCCGAAGUUCGCGCGCUGAGCCUGAGGAGCGGCUGCCCCUCCCGCGGAGAGAAGUGAGGGCGGCGCUGCCUGAACGCUUCCCUCCCCGUGGUCUGGCCGGCGCUGUACCACAACAGCUUGAGAAAACUUACUGAUACAGUGAUAUCACUUAGUGAUACAGUCUUUCACCAUUGACACAAGAAUGAAGAGAAACAAGGAUGAGGGAAAUACCUCUUGAAAAAAUGUCUACAAGGAAUCAAGGACUAAACAGUAUGCAAAUCCAUCAACUAGUUAUCAACACAAACACAGCCUGUUUGCAGACCUGGAUUUAUCCAGUGCCAUUUUGGAGCUUGUAGAGAAGAAAGGACCAGAAAGAAAACAUGAUCAGACAGGCAGCAGCUGAAUUAGCUAAGAGAAACAAAGUGGAGAUACUACAGAAAGGACAG